rnacentral:lncRNA from 1 species
AUGGAUAAUAUGACCCAGUGGGAACCAGGACUGCAGAGAAGAGACAGCCGCCAAGAACCUCUGAAACACACAGUGACUACAUCAAAGAUGGGAGCCAUUAGAGGAGAAAAAUCUGGAGCUCUGCUGGUCAUGAACACAGCAACACAGAUUUAUGCAUACCAGACAUGCUAG